UCCUCGAUAGCUCAGUUGGUAGAGCAAGUGACUGUUAAUCACUGGGUCGCAGGUUCGAGUCCUGCUCGAGGAG
rfam:Halomonas chromatireducens strain AGD 8-3, complete genome.